rnacentral:rRNA from 1 species
AUUGAACGCUGGCGGCAGGCCUAACACAUGCAAGUCGAGCGGAUGAAGGGAGCUUGCUCCUGGAUUCAGCGGCGGACGGGUGAGUAAUGCCUAGGAAUCUGCCUGGUAGUGGGGGAUAACGUCCGGAAACGGGCGCUAAUACCGCAUACGUCCUGAGGGAGAAAGUGGGGGAUCUUCGGACCUCACGCUAUCAGAUGAGCCUAGGUCGGAUUAGCUAGUUGGUGGGGUAAAGGCCUACCAAGGCGACGAUCCGUAACUGGUCUGAGAGGAUGAUCAGGCACACCGGAACUGAGACACGGUCCAGACUCCUACGGGGGGCAGCAGUGGGGAAUAUUGGACAAUGGGCGAAAGACUGAUCCAGCCAUGCCGCGUGUGUGAAGAAGGUCUUCGGAUUGUAAAGCACUUUAAGUUGGGAGGAAGGGCAGUAAGUUAAUACCUUGCUGUUUUGACGUUACCAACAGAAUAAGCACCGGCUAACUUCGUG